rnacentral:misc_RNA from 1 species
UAUUUGAGCAGCCAGAGAGAUCGAUAGUCAUCAGUGAUUUCAACAAACAAGUGCUUUCUGGAAGAUUACUGAGUUGCUUACAAUCCCUCAAAUUCAAGGUAAUGAGUCCACUUAGAUGCCCAAUUGAUUUGGGAACCUCUUCUAUCGCAGUCCCAUUUAAAUUUAAAUACACUAUGUUCCCUGCAACUUCCGGACAGUGCCUAAGAUUUGAGCAGCCAGAAAGGUUAAGAGUCUUGAGUGAUCUCAAUUUAAUG